rnacentral:rRNA from 1 species
CGAAAGCAUCUGCCAAGGAUGUUUUCAUUAAUCAAGAACGAAAGUUAGGGGAUCGAAGACGAUCAGAUACCGUCGUAGUCUUAACCAUAAACGAUGCCGACCAGCGAUUAGGAGACGUUGAAUACAAAACACCACCAUCGGUGCGGUCGUCCUUGGCGUCUCGGUCCUUCACGGGGCCGGGGCGCGGGGGUGGCUUAGCCCGGUGGCACCGGUGAAUGACU